CACGUAGUUGGCCGGGGCUUCUUAGUCAGGUACCGUCAUUCUCUUCCCUGCUGAUAGAGCUUUACAUACCGAAAUACUUCUUCACUCACGCGGCGUUGCUGCAUCAGGGUUUCCCCCAUUGUGCAAUAUUCCCCACUGCUGCCUCCCGUAGGAGUUUGGGCCGUGUCUCAGUCCCAAUGUGGCCGGCCACCCUCUCAGGUCGGCUACUGAUCGUCGCCUUGGUGGGCCGUUACCCCGCCAACCAGCUAAUCAGACGCGGGUCCAUCUCAUACCACCUCGGUUUUUCACACUGGACCAUGCAGUCCCGUGCGCUUAUGCGGUAUUAGCAGUCAUUUCUAACUGUUAUCCCCUUGUAUGAGGCAGGUUACCCACGCGUUACUCACCCGUCCGCCGCUAAGUCAAUAUGGCUUCAUUCUGAAAAAUUUCACCUUAUCGCUUCGCUCGACUUGCAUGUGUUAAGCACGCCGCCAGCGUUCAUCCUGAGCCAGGAUCAAACU
rnacentral:rRNA from 1 species